CGACCCUCCUGCCUCAGCCUCCCGAGUGCUAGGAUUACAGAAAGCAACACUGAACUACAGAACAUAGGUCUGCAGAGCAGAAGCCUGGUGUGCUGGCUUUCUGUGGCUUUGUCCCCGACACUGUGGUCUUCAGCCGUGUCCAUGGAUGGCUGUCAAUCAGCGUUCCUCAUCUGGGGUCCAGGGGCUUCUGCAGCUGGGUGAUGCCUGGGGUCUCACUACGUAGUUCAGGUUCGCCUUGAACUUGUGACAAUCCUCCUGCCUCAGCCUCCCAAGUCCGACUUUACUUUUGUAAAGGUCUCUCUGGGGCUGUAGUGGGAACAGACCACAAGACGGAGCGGUCUAGGUCCUGCAGUCACAAAGACUGAG